GACGUAGGAGGCGAGCGUUGUCCGGAGUUAUUGGGCGUAAAGCGCUCGCAGGUGGUUCGAUGCGUCGUGCGUGAAAGACCCCGGCUCAACUGGGGAGGGUCGUGCGAUACGGUCGAACUGGAGGCCAGUAGGGGGAUGCGGAAUUCCGGGUGUAGUGGUGGAAUGCGUAGAGAUCCGGAGGAACACCAGCGGCGAAGGCGGCAUCCUGGACUGGUCCUGACACUCAUGAGCGAAAGCGUGGGGAGCGAUCCGG
rnacentral:rRNA from 1 species